AGAGUUUGAUCCUGGCUCAGGAUGAACGCUAGCUACAGGCUUAACACAUGCAAGUCGAGGGGCAGCAUGGUUUCAGCUUGCUGAGACUGAUGGCGACCGGCGCACGGGUGAGUAACGCGUAUCCAACCUGCCCUUUACUCCGGGAUAGUCUCCUGAAAGGGAGUUUAAUACCGGAUGUGUUUGUCUUUCCGCAUGGGAGCGACAAAUAAAGAUUAAUUGGUAAAGGAUGGGGAUGCGUCCCAUUAGCUAGUUGGCGGGGUAACGGCCCACCAAGGCGACGAUGGGUAGGGGUUCUGAGAGGAAGGUCCCCCACAUUGGAACUGAGACACGGUCCAAACUCCUACGGGAGGCAGCAGUGAGGAAUAUUGGUCAAUGGGCGAGAGCCUGAACCAGCCAAGUAGCGUGAAGGAUGACGGCCCUACGGGUUGUAAACUUCUUUUAUAAGGGAAUAAAGUGCGUUACGUGUAAUGUUUUGUAUGUACCUUAUGAAUAAGCAUCGGCUAAUUCCGUGCCAGCAGCCGCGGUAAUACGGAAGAUGCGAGCGUUAUCCGGAUUUAUUGGGUUUAAAGGGAGCGUAGGCGGGCUUUUAAGUCAGCGGUCAAAUGUCACGGCUCAACCGUGGCCAGCCGUUGAAACUGCAAGCCUUGAGUCUGCACAGGGCACAUGGAAUUCGUGGUGUAGCGGUGAAAUGCUUAGAUAUCACGAAGAACUCCGAUCGCGAAGGCAUUGUGCCGGGGCAUAACUGACGCUGAGGCUCGAAAGUGCGGGUAUCAAACAGGAUUAGAUACCCUGGUAGUCCGCACGGUAAACGAUGAAUGCUCGCUAUGGGCGAUAUAUUGUCCGUGGCCAAGCGAAAGCGUUAAGCAUUCCACCUGGGGAGUACGCCGGCAACGGUGAAACUCAAAGGAAUUGACGGGGGC
rnacentral:rRNA from 1 species